AGUGAACGCUGGCGGUAGGCCUAACACAUGCAAGUCGAACGGCAGCACAGUAAGAGCUUGCUCUUACGGGUGGCGAGUGGCGGACGGGUGAGGAAUACAUCGGAAUCUACUUUUUCGUGGGGGAUAACGUAGGGAAACUUACGCUAAUACCGCAUACGACCUACGGGUGAAAGCAGGGGAUCUUCGGACCUUGCGCGAUUGAAUGAGCCGAUGUCGGAUUAGCUAGUUGGCGGGAUAAAGGCCCACCAAGGCGACGAUCCGUAGCUGGUCUGAGAGGAUGAUCAGCCACACUGGAAAUGAGACAAGGUCCAGACUCCUACGGGAGGCAGCAGUGGGGAAUAUUGGACAAUGGGCGCAAGCCUGAUCCAGCCAUAACGCGUGGGUGAAGAAGGCCUUCGGGUUGUAAAGCCCUUUUGUUGGGAAAGAAAAGCAGCAGGUUAAUACCCCGCUGUUCUGACGGUACCCAAAGAAUAAGCACCGGCUAACUUCGUG
rnacentral:rRNA from 1 species